rnacentral:rRNA from 1 species
GACGAACGCUGGCGGCGUGCUUAACACAUGCAAGUCGAACGGAAAGGCCCCUUUGGGGGUAGUCGAGGGGCGAACGGGGGAGGAACACGUGAGUAACCUGCCCUUGACUUCGGGAAAACUGCAGGAAACCGGGGCAAAUACCGGAGAGGAAUGCUUGCUCCACGGUGGGUGGGGGAGAGCUUGGGCGGUUUGGUCGGGAGGCGCGGCUUAUCUGAUUGGUGGUGGGGUAGUGGCUUACCAAGGCUUAGGCGGGUAGCCGGCCUGGGAGGGCGACCGGGCACAUUGGGACUGGGACUCGGCCCAGACUCCUACGGGUGGCAGCAGUAGCGGAUAUUGAACAAUGGGCGGGAGCCUGAUGCAGCACCGCCGCGGGCGGGAGGACGGCCUUCGGGUUGGAAACCGCUUUCAGCAGGGGCCGAGCUUAUGGUGACGGUACCUGCAGAAGAAGCACCGGCUAACUCCGUG